rnacentral:rRNA from 1 species
GGAAUAUUGGACAAUGGGGGGAACCCUGAUCCAGCCAUGCCGCGUGUGUGAAGAAGGCCUUUUGGUUGUAAAGCACUUUAAGCGAGGAGGAGGCUACUCUAGUUAAUACCUAGGGAUAGUGGACGUUACUCGCAGAAUAAGCACCGGCUAACUCUGUGCCAGCAGCCGCGGUAAUACAGAGGGUGCGAGCGUUAAUCGGAUUUACUGGGCGUAAAGCGUGCGUAGGUGGCCAAUUAAGUCAAAUGUGAAAUCCCCGAGCUUAACUUGGGAAUUGCAUUCGAUACUGGUUGGCUAGAGUAUGGGAGAGGAUGGUAGAAUUCCAGGUGUAGCGGUGAAAUGCGUAGAGAUCUGGAGGAAUACCGAUGGCGAAGGCAGCCAUCUGGCCUAAUACUGACACUGAGGUACGAAAGCAUGGGGAGCAAACAGGAUUAGAUACCCUGG